UGCCUUACUUUAUACCACUGACGACCUGAUGUCAGUCCUCACAUGACAGCAAGUGACGCAGAAAUACUAAGUCUCGGGUAUUCAGCCCGGCCGAGGGCUACCUCUGGCAGGGAUAACCCAAAUGUGAUGACUGCUACAGUGAAACACGAAGAACAUCAGUUGAACAUAAAUGGCUCCAAUUAUUAAGCAUAACCGUAGGAAAUUAUGUACUAUUCGAUAUACUUUAACUAAAACUGAAGGGCAUCCCCUAAAGGAAUGGGGACAAAAAAGUCACAAUGUCAGCUGAUAAGGGUGGUAAUAAUAAUAUACUGAAUGUUGAAAAUUGGAUAACAGCACUUAUGAAGCAAGUCGGCACUACAAAGCUACAUGGAGUUUAAAGCGCUUCUUGAUAAAGGAAGCAGAUUGCAUUUUUUUUUGGUCUGGCAGAUGGCUUAAGCUGUUUCCUGUGGUCCAGAGGUGCAAGACUUGACUCCCUCAACUUCCACUGCCUAACUGUGACUCUGAGCAAGUUACUUAACCAGACACCACUCCCAGACUGAAUAUGAAAAAGGUCCAUGGAGAUCAGUGCUCUACCCCGGAAAACAAAUACAAAUAAAUAAUCAUAUACAUAUGAUGCCUAUAACACAAGAUACUUUGAUUCCUGUUUUUUACCGAUUACCAAAAUUGCACACAGAUUUAUAUAACCCACCUGCAGACUCAAAGUUACUAACAGAUUAUUUAGAAAAAUAGGUUGAAUUAAUAAUUUCCUAAAAUAUGUUGAAAAAUUGGUUUUACAUACAAAACACUGCAGAUGCCGGACGUUUGAAGGCUUAUGUUGGGAGAAAAAAUAUUUUUGAGCAAACUCUGAAGCUACAUCCUUAUAUAGCAGUAUCUAUAACCAUGGCAGUUUGCAAGCCUUAAAUUACUAUAACCAUGCCAGUUUGCAAGCCUUAAAUUAUUUUUAGAUCCUAGUCCCUCUUUAUUUGUGAUUUGGUUUGGUUUUCUAUAAAUCAUUUCUUUACAUUUGAUGGUCAAACCUAAAGACAAACUGAGGAGCAACAAUGGAAGCUUGUUUUGCUCCCUUGUGCAAUAAUUUGACCAUGGGUUUGAGUUAGAAGUAUAACACUGAUUUUUUGAAAUGUAUAUCUAUGAUACAUAUAUUUUACUUUUUGUUUGCAAUAGUAACACUGAAAAAUGUUAUAAUUUUUUGACAGUUCAAAAGGACAAUAGAUUUGUUAAUAUGCCAUUGUGGGGCAGACCAAUUAAGAUUUAGGACUACCUUGUAUAGUACAAAUUCAAAUGCACAGAUGGUCUUGCAUGGGGGUAGUCAAUCUAAAUCUUUAAUUGGUUCCUUAGCUUAUGCUGCAUUUUAAAGGCAAAUCAAAAUUAUAGUGAAUUAAAUUUUUUCCCUAAAUGAGUCAGAAUUUAUAAUUAUUUGUGAAAAGGGGUUUCAGAACUUAAGAUGAACAAAAACACAUCAGCAAACCUGUUCUAAAAAUAGAACGGAUUUAAUUUUGGAACACAAAAUAUUAAUAGCCAGCUUUUUAUUAAUAAUUAGCCAACAAAUAUGCUUGCAAUGUAUUCCAAUUAUGCACUAAAAUAUUUGUUCAGUGGAAUUGCACUAUGUGGUUAAACAACUCUGGGCUGUGAUUUUUUUUCAGGAUGUUGAGCUUGCACGGGUUACACAUACACACCACCAUCACGGUUAUCUUGUUUUAGAGGCUCCCAUAUUCAAACAUUUUGAACACCCAGAUGAAUCAAUAAUUCAAUAUACAAUGACUAGAAACCAUAGAAACAGAGUGGACCACUGCUUUGGCCACUAUACAAUGUGUAAUAUUAUGAUAGAAGACUUUAUUCCAGUUAACAGUCAAAGCAAGACUAUGCAAUUUAAAUUGUUGUAACUGUAUGAAAGCAGUAUAUGUUAUAUAGUGUUCCUGUGGUUUAACAUACUUUGAAGGAAACUAAAAGAAAAUCUGCAGCAAUACUAACAGAAAGUUCAGCGGUGUAAGAACUUAUUUUAACAGUUUAUGUCCUAUUGAUCACUGUUGCAGUAUUCCAAACAGAUUUACAAAGCUUAAGGGAGUAAAAGGGUGGAAGGCUGAGAAUUGUGAGAACUGUCUAAGAGGCAAAAGGUAUCAACUCUGUAAAGCUUAGUGAAAGUGGCACUGAAGACCAGGUAGCUACUUCCAGUAUUAGUCUGAAUCUAUCCCCUUGUACAAAACUACAAAAGAGGCCACUGCUCUAGCAGAAUGAGGUUUUUGGAAAGAGGGCAAAGAUAUGAUGCGGUAAGGGUAGAAAAAGAAGAUGGACUUGAGUUUUGCCAUGAAAUCAAGAGAUGAAGUGUGUGUAACCAUAUGCAUCUCUUAACUGAGCUGGUAGCAACUGCUCUGGAGGAGGUCUCAACAGCAUCACAGCUGCAGUUUAUAGUACGCAUAGUUACUAGAGUAGCUUGAGCCACUAAAUACAUAACCUGUUAUUUACAGUCUGACCCUACCAUGUCAGUAACUACCUUAUUCAGGUUGCCAAGGAUAACCAAAAGGUAUUUGGUCAUCUGAGUCUGACAAUUAAUGCCCUGAAGGCCUGGGUAAAGGAAGCAUAGACCUUUCCCCCAAUACUGUUCUUUUCUGAGGGAAGGGCAUUAUCAUUAGGCAGAAGUGUAGAUGCAUUCUCUGAGGCUAAGGAAAUAACUGAAGGAUCAGCAACUGGAUUCUUGGAAAGAAACUUGAGUGUAUCUGGAACUUUAUAGAAUCUAUCAGGCCUCUUGAGGGCUGGAGGCUGAGAGUCAGGAGCAGUAGACAGCCACAAAAGCAUCAAGAAAGGCUUCCAGGACUGCAGGGACAGGAGUAGAAGCUGGAGUGUCCACUAAAACUAUAAUCUCUUUUCUGAACAUCAAGAGAUCUGAUUAGAAUCUCACUCAGAACGUUGCAUCAUAUUCUCAAUGUUCUCCCCAAAAGCCCUUUCCAUAAGGAAACUUGGUGAGAGGGAGUAAUCAUCUGAGUGGACCUGUCCAUUUGAGUGGAUUUUGAGAGGAGUUGGGAAUGAUCAUUGAAAUCUAAGGCUCCCUCAUCCUCCAUGGACGACUCCUGAACUGAAAAGGAAGGAGGCUGGAGAGCUACAAGGGCCUUGAAUCGGCCCUGAGUAAAGUCCAUCCACUUUUCCUCUCCAGAAGAUGAAGGGAAUGGAACAUGCUUAGUCUUUUGUCAUUUCUUCACAGGGGCGAUAUCUGCUUGGAUGAAGCGAGGAGGCUCUAACCCCUGACGUACCUCAAUCACUGAGUUGUUGAAUCUCUGGAAAAGUAUUCAAUGACAAUAAACUGAAUCUCAAAGUAUUGGGUACAAAAGACUUGCAGAUGGAACAAGACCUGUAACUGUGUUCUGCACUUAAGAACAGGCAGCAGGAAUGGCAGUACUUGCAGGGCAGGGUAUUUGCCUAUUGCAACAACACUUUCCCCUGCUAGCUGACAUCUAAGAAAUCACUGAUCAAUAUGAUAAAUAAGAAAAGUUCCCCAAUGGGGUAUUUAUCUGAAUCCAUGAAGGCUUAUGGUACAAGUGACCACAAAAAAAUCAGUCAGAUGGGUGCAAAACCUGCAUCCAUGCUGCCAAAGAGAUAGCCUGAGGAUUUAUGCUCAUGCAGCCACUUAUGUACCCUACGGUCAUAGGUUGAGGUCAUACAUUGGAUGUACGGCUAUUGGAAAAGUUUAGGUUCAGAAGUUUCACUCAAACUUUGUUGGGGCUAAGGUACCACAUUUAGCUAUUAACAGUUAAUGCAAUACCAAGAAGCAGUAACAUGUCAAGCUGAUGAAGUCAUAUUCUAAGCUUUUCCAGAAAGUUUCUUUAAAGGGUCCCAAGAGGUUUCCUAAAAGAAUGCAUUUUAAAGGCAAUAAAAGGUUCUUAGAAAACCUUCACACACAUACAUUUAACAUUUAAAAUGUUAUCUUCAGUACCAGCAAAGGACUGCAGGGUCCACAGCCAGAUCAUUUUCCACCCAUGUCACACACCAACGGGUAUAAUAUUAAAUCUCCCACACAGCACCUUUUAUGAUGCAGAAUUUAGGAUAUUAAGAUAAUUAUCUACUAAUGUGCAUAAAGAACCAAGAUGAAUAAGUGGUGAUACAAAGUCAAAGCAAUGAAAGAAAAGUAUAAAAUGGCAGCUGCACAGCCAAGAGAUGAUUUAUGACAUAUUUAAAAUGAUCAGCAAUAUGAAAAUUUCAUGACAAGUAGUACUACAGAACUUCACUUCACAUCUAUGCUUUCCAUUACCAAAGGGCCACAAUCUUGCUGGAAUACUUGGGGGGGGGGGGGG